rnacentral:tRNA from 1 species
GCUGAUAUGGCUCAGUUGGUAGAGCGCACCCUUGGUAAGGGUGUAGGUCCCCAGUUCGACUCUGGGUAUCAGCACCA